rnacentral:rRNA from 1 species
UACGGAGGGCGCAAGCGUUGUUCGGAAUCACUGGGCGUAAAGCGCGUGUAGGCGGCCUUCUAAGUCUGAUGUGAAAGCCCGGGGCUCACCCCCAGAAGUGCAUUGGAUACUGGGAGGCUGAAGUACCGGAGAGGAGGGUGGAAUUCCUGGUGUAGCGGUGAAAUGCGUAGAUAUCAGGAGGAACACCGGUGGCGAAGGCGGCCCUCUGGACGGAUACUGGCGCUGAGACGCGACAGCGUGGGGAGCAAACAGG